rnacentral:rRNA from 1 species
UACAGAGGGGGCAAGCGUUGUUCGGAAUUACUGGGCGUAAAGGGCGCGUAGGCGGCCUGUUAAGUCGAACGUGAAAUCCCCGGGCUCAACCCGGGAACUGCGUCCGAUACUGGCAGGCUUGAAUCCGGGAGAGGGAUGCGGAAUUCCAGGUGUAGCGGUGAAAUGCGUAGAUAUCUGGAGGAACACCGGUGACGAAGGCGGCAUCCUGGACCGGCAUUGACGCUGAGGCGCGAAAGCCAGGGGAGCAAACGGG